ACAUCGAAGUGAAUUAUACAGUAUGUUAGACGGUAAUUACCAGCGUGAAAACUCUGUGUGGACGAUGCAAGAAAUCAAAUACUAUGUUGAUUGAAACACUGAGUGGAACAAAAACUCUAUCUGAAUUGACAUGCAGGCUACAGGAUUAUCCAGACGUGUCCCAGCUUCAUUUAGAUGCUGUCACAACACGAGAAUGAACCGGAGAUUUCAUAGCCCUACCUACAGGAGUCUCCCCCAAACUGGCAAUGUCUGCGCCAGACGCCAGCUCCCAAGGUGCAGGGGCGCCUGCAGGGGGCGCCCAAGGACCGUGGCAGUGUCCCCAGGCAGACCCCCGCCUGAGGCCACCUGGAUCUGGCACUACACGCCUCACACAAAUUGUGAUAAACGGUGGACUCCUUGCGGGAAUAGCCCCUCCUUCUUUCACCAGGUGGCGCUGUGACUCCAGACGGACGGUUUCCUUUCUCUUUGCCGCCCCUCAGGACCUGUCCGGGCUCUUGUCUACACUGCGAAGCCAGAGGGCACCACAUCAGGGAAACCUCUCUCUCUUUGGACCAAAGCAUCACCAUCUUUUGCGAGUCUGAAUUCUUACCAUAAUGUUUAAAGGCAGAGCAUUGCCCAGAGCCCUCGAUGUAUGCAUUGAUUCUAGGCCUCUUAAAAUAGGUCGUUAACUCACCUGUUUAUUUCAAGGUACAUGCUUACAGCAAUUGUGAUAUUGAGAAUGAGUCAGAACGGUUGCAAGGAGCACUCGAAUCAUAUCUUUGGAUCAAAAUGCACAUUUCUUAGUGUGACUCACUCAACAAGGAUUUACUCAGAACCUCGGAUGCACCUGCAUCAAGCCAGGCCGCCUCUCACACAGAUGCUGCUCGGAAAAGGACCGAAGAAGUGGGUGUCUUAUGUCCAGGGUGUCCCCAAAAACUGCAGACACAGUUGAACAGCGGAUAGCCCAGUUUUGAAAAUGAAAUGUAUUUGAAUAAACACUGCCUUUAUUACUC